CCUACUUAAAGGUUUUUUUGUCACUAUACAUUAUCUCUUUCAGAAUAAUAAACAUAUUGUAUCAGAGCAGGAGCAGAGCAGGGUUUAUACAUCACAUAGCUGGAGGCUGGAGCUGCGCAUCUUCCUCGCACAGCUAUUUUGCGGCGGCGCACCUUCAUAGCACAUGCUUACUCGCACCGCUACAUAGCUUAGUAUCAGUGGAAACAGUAACAUAGAUUCACAGCACAGCUGUCACCAUUUCGUAUUGUAGAUGCAUAGCACAUUUCUGCUGGAAAAGCCCCUCAGACCCGAUUUUGGCCCACAUUAAACGGGCAGAUUUACAUAAUUCUAACUUUGUACACUUAUCAAGGAUCGUGAUAAUUAAGUUCAAUUCAUAAGCAUAAGCUAGUUUUUUACACCCAAAUUAUAUUUAAUUAUUUUAAAUGUGUUCUUGUAAUUUGCAAUCUAUAAUAUCAUGAAGUGACUGUAUUUUAUUACAUAAGUAGGUAUAGGUACUAAUCACAAAAUAUUUGGAAAUUAGUCAGCGGCUAAUCAGUACUUUUGAGAAUUCAUUAUCAUAAUAUUGGCCAUGGUAUAUUACUCUUUAAAAACAUUUUAAAUCAAAGGUAGACUCAUCAGUCGUAUUUCGAGGUACUUAUCGAUAAAUUGUCCGCAUUGAUUAGUUAACCUAUCUAAUCAGGAACGUUUCCAUGUAUUUAACCUAGGUACUUAUAUUAUAUUUGCGAAAUAUUAAAUGAAAUAACCUUAGAUAGUCAUUACAGUUCCUAUUUUACCGCCGAAUAUACUCGUAUAACAUAGACAUGGGUUCCGGAUGUAGUUCAUGUUGCGAUACCAGGCCUCCCUCGGGAGACGGAGUGCAAGUAGCCGACAACAACCCGGGCUACUAUCCCCCCAACGACGUGGUUACUGUUACCGACCAACCCCAAAACUAUCAGAGAAGAUAGUCUACAGUAUUGAGAAAUACUUAGGUAUCCUAUUUAUUUGAUUAAGUUUGCUAUUAAAAUAUUUUAAGCCAGACGUGA